rnacentral:rRNA from 1 species
GUCGAGAAUCUUUCACAAUGGGGGCAACCCUGAUGGAGCGACGCCGCGUGGAGGAUAAGGUCUUCGGAUUGUAAACUCCUGUCAUGCGUGAACAAGGUUGCUUGGUUAAUACCUGGGCAAAUUGAUGGUAACGCAAGAGGAAGAGACGGCUAACUCUGUGCCAGCAGCCGCGGUAAUACAGAGGUCUCAAGCGUUGUUCGGAAUCACUGGGCGUAAAGGGUGCGUAGGUGGCGUGGUAAGUCAGAUGUGAAAGCCCGGGGCUAAACCUCGGAACUGCAUCCGAUACUGCCAUGCUAGAGUACUGGAGAGGUGACUAGAAUUCUCGGUGUAGCAGUGAAAUGCGUAGAUAUCGAGAGGAAUACCAAAGGCGUAGGCAGGUCACUGGACAGUUACUGACACUGAGGCACGAAGGCCAGGGGAGCGAACGGGAUUAGAAACCCUAGUAGUCC